AGAGACCAUUCAGAGCUCACCCAGUUAACCUCAAUCUAAAAUAUUGCCAUCCCAAACAACAGAUGGCUGAAGUGUAUGUCUUGGAAGAAAGACUUCAUAGCCUGUGGAAGAGAUGAGGGUCUUCUCAAAGUCCUGAAGCUGGAGACAAAGACAGGUGAGGUAAGCACCAUUCUCAGAAGCCAAGUUCUGGUGAUGUUCAUGCUG
rnacentral:lncRNA from 1 species